rnacentral:rRNA from 1 species
AGAGUUUGAUCCUGGCUCAGGACGAACGCUGGCGGCGUGCUUAACACAUGCAAGUCGAACGGGGUGCCCAUGAAGGAGAUUUCGGUCAACGGAUUGGGUUACUUAGUGGCGGACGGGUGAGUAACGCGUGAGGAACCUGCCUUUCAGAGGGGGACAACAGUUGGAAACGACUGCUAAUACCGCAUAACAUGUAGGUGUCGCAUGACAUUUACAUCAAAGAUUUAUCGCUGAGAGAUGGCCUCGCGUCUGAUUAGCUAGUUGGUAGGGUAACGGCCUACCAAGGCGACGAUCAGUAGCCGGACUGAGAGGUUGGCCGGCCACAUUGGGACUGAGAUACGGCCCAGACUCCUACGGGAGGCAGCAGUGGGGAAUAUUGGGCAAUGGGCGCAAGCCUGACCCAGCAACGCCGCGUGAAGGAAGAAGGCUUUCGGGUUGUAAACUUCUUUUGUCAGGGAAGAGUAGAAGACGGUACCUGACGAAUAAGCCACGGCUAACUACGUG